rnacentral:lncRNA from 1 species
AUAUGAUUUAACCAUAAAUGUUUAUCUGCUACUUGGACUAUAUUGAAAAUAAAAUUCAUUAGGUUUAAUGAGAAAACUACUGAUAUCAAGAACAAAAAUAAAUAAAUAUAAGCCGUACUGAGAAUUCAUCCUCUUAUAUUUUAUUCUAACUUAGAGAAGAUAGGGUACAGACAAUUUUUCAGCUGCAGUACAUUUUCUCAUUUUCAUUAUGCAGAGCUAAAAUUAUCCUUGCUGUAAUUUUUCUGAAAUCAGUGGUAUUCUUCUGCUAGGUGUGAGAGUGACCUGCUCUGAUGGACCUGCUGUUCCAGGACACGCUACACUCCAGCGGGUUUCUUCCCUUCAGUUGAAUGCAAACAUACAGAUGAAGAAUCAUAGAACCACAUAGGCUGGAAAAGACCUUCACGGAAGUAUUGCUGGGGAGGAGGUAGUUCUGCCCAAUGGAAUAAAUUUCUCUGCAUAACUUGCCA